AUACUUACCUGGCAGGGGAGAUACCAUGAUCAUGAAGGUGAUUUUUCCCAGGGCAAGGCUUAUCUGUUGCACUCCAAAUGUGCUGACCCCUGCGAUUUCUCCAAAUGUGGGAACCUCGACUACAUAAUUUGCGGUAGUGGGGGACUGUGUUCAUGCUCUCCCCUG
rnacentral:snRNA from 1 species